rnacentral:misc_RNA from 1 species
UGUCACGGGAGUGAUUGAAGAA